AACGAACGCUGGCGGCGCGUCUUAAACAUGCAAGUCGAACGGCAGGAAGGGGCUUGCCCCUUCUGAGAGUGGCGGACUGGUGAGUAACACGUGGGUGACAUACCCUUUAGUUGGGGAUAGCUAUUAGAAAUAGUAGGUAAUACCGAAUGUGACCGUACCUGUUAGAGGGGUACGAGGAAAGGAGCUAAGGCUUCGCUAAAAGAAUGGCUCGCGGCCCAUUAUGCUCGUUGGUGAGGUAACGGCCCACCAAGGCGAUGAUGGGUAUCCGGCCUGAGAGGGUGAACGGACACAUUGGGACUGAGAUACGGCCCAGACUUCUACGGGAGGCAGCAGUUAAGAAUAUUCCGCAAUGGACGAAAGUGUGACGGAGCGACGCCGCGUGGAUGAAGAAGGCCGAAAGGUUGUAAAAUCUUUUUAAGCCUGAUGAAUAAGCACAGUAGGGAAUGAUUGUGCGGUGACCGUAGGGCUUGAAUAAGCACCGGCUAAUUACGUG
rnacentral:rRNA from 1 species